rnacentral:SRP_RNA from 1 species
GGUGGCCCGGGCGCGCGAGCAGGCUCGUGAACCCGGUCAGGCCCGGAAGGGAGCAGCCGUAGCGAUGUCCUUCUGUGAUGCGCUAUGGGCCGCCGUU